rnacentral:rRNA from 1 species
CCUACGGGGGGCAGCAGUAGGGAAUAUUGCUCAAUGGGGGAAACCCUGAAGCAGCAACGCCGCGUGGAGGAUGAAGGUUCUCGGAUUGUAAACUCCUUUUGUUAGAGAAGAUAAUGACGGUAUCUAACGAAUAAGCACCGGCUAACUCCGUGCCUGCAGCCGCGGUAAUACGGAGGGUGCAAGCGUUACUCGGAAUCACUGGGCGUAAAGAGCGCGUAGGCGGGAUAGCAAGUCAGAUGUGAAAUCCUAGGGCUUAACCAUAGAACUGCUUUUGAAACUGUUAGUCUAGAGUAGGGGAGAGGUAGGUGGAAUUCUUGGUGUAGGGGUGAAAUGCGUAGAGAUCAAGAGGAAUACUCAUUGCGAAGGCGGCCUGCUAGAACAUAACUGACGCUGAUGCGCGAAAGCGUGGGGAGCAAACAGGAGUAGAUACCCCAGUAGUC